GAGGAAAGGGCUAUCAACGAGAUGGAGCCGUCUCUCGAUUCUCUCGUUAUGACUUCUUUUUAUUUGAUUGGAUUUCUAUAUUUUUAUUAUUUCAAAUUUCAAACUCUAUAAUGAUUUGGAUUAAGUAUUAUUUAUAUUUUGUAGUUACUACUAUAGAAUAAUUAUUACAAGCUUUCUAAAAAUCAAAUGCUCGUGCCUUUGUGUGUUUCCCAUCUAGUUGGUAAUGGUUGUUAUCUCUCACUAAGUCCUUGUGACUUACUCCUUCAUCUUAUAUUUUUUUUCAGAUUCAAAGCCAACUGAAUAGAAAGCUUCUAGCAGAGUUAAAGAUUUGUCAAUGUCACUCUUUUGGUAGGCCUUCUUGAUGAAAAACUAUUUUGUAUAUGUAUAUUUGGAGUUGAUCGAGUAUCUGCAGCUAUUUUGAGUCUAGGAAUAUCUUGUUUUGAAAUGUAUAAAUUUAAACAUGUAUUUCUCAAAACUCUAGCUGAUGAUGUAUCAUGUAAAACAUGAUUUAUUCUGAUUUGGAAACAUUGAAAAUACAGAUGAGACUUUGUCGAAAUUUCAGUAAAAUUGUUCUAAAGUAAAUAGUCAUUUGGAAAUAAUAUAUUUAUUGUUUGUUAAAUUCGGUCAUUAGGCUUGNNN
rnacentral:lncRNA from 1 species